CGAGAGGCCCAUCCGCGCAACGAAAGCGAAUGGCGGGACGCUCUCCCGCAGGGGGCGGCGCCGCCGGCCGGACGUCCUCGAGGCGGACCGAGCCGGAGCGCUCGCGUCGGGACCCGAAAGGUGGUGAUCUAUCCGUGCGCGCGGCGAAGCCGGGGAAACCCCGGUGGAGGCCCGUCGACGGUACUGACGUGCAAAUCGUUCGUCCGACGUGCGAAUAGGGGCGAAAGACCAAUCGAACCUCCUAGUAGCUGGUUUCCGCCGAAAUUUCCCUCAGGAUAGCGGCCAUCGCGGAAACGUUUUGACCGGUAGAGCGAACGACUAGAGGUACCGGGGCCGUAACGGCCUCGACCUAUUCUCGAACUCCGAACGGGCAAGGAGCCGGGGUCGCCCGAUCGGACCCCGGACGUGAAGUCGACGAUGGUCGGUGGGCUGGUUUUGGUAAGCAGAACGGGCGAUUCGGGAUGAACCGGAAGCGGGGA
rnacentral:rRNA from 1 species